rnacentral:ncRNA from 1 species
GCGCAGCUGUUUAGUGACUGUAGAAUUAUGCUGUGAAGCACAUAAAUGCCGAGGCAUGGACGCCGAGGCAAGGAGAAAUCGAGCCAUGGAUGGCGAGUUUCGACGGUUUCGUCGGGCAUAGAAAGCCUGGGGCAUAAUUCGUACAGACACUUGACAGCGAAGC